rnacentral:lncRNA from 1 species
ACAAGAAGAAACCAACAAUGGAACCAUUUUAAAGCAUAGUUUUGCAAGUAUUUGAUUUGAUUUCUCAUAUAGUUGAAAUUAUAGUUCAUCCACAUAAAUUCUAGACAAGUUCCUUCACAGGCACUAAUAUUCAAAGCAGCAAGCAACUCAAGGAGAUCAUUGCUUGCAUGCCGCUGCUUAAUUGAUUAUAAAUAUGGUAUGUUUAUUUUUUCCUUAACACAUAUAUUUCUCUUGUGUACUUCUUACCGAUCUUAUAUUGCACUACCUCAUAUGCACUUAGGUAAAAAAAAAUCUGAAAAAUAGGACUUCAUGAUAACCUAGGAUACGGUGUUAAUUAAAGAGUUCUACUUUUAGAAUAUAGAUGCUAUUUAGUGUUCAAACAGCAAGAAAAUAGAAAGAAGGGAACCUUGGAUAUUUAGCUCCAAGGAUGUCUUUCUGCCCAUACUUUCUCCAGCUAAAGCCAUCAUCAAGAGGCCCUUCUAGUCCCAUCCCUGGGUUAACUCGCACUUGCUGUGUCCACCUUGGCGUGCCCUUCCUGAAAAAUUAACCGCAGUUUAGCUAGACAGACACCCAGCCAAAGUUAUUGUCUAAAAAAACACUAAUAAGGUAUCAACAUAUGUAUAUGUAUAUAUACCUCUUCCUAGACCCAUCUUUAGGGUCGUGGUCCUUGAAGUCCCUGUCGGAGUCUUCACUCCGGGGACUUCCACUUAGAGAAGGCGGCGACUCAGACAUCCCAAUGGCAAAUCCAGUGGGAUUCGUCUCUCUUAUUGAGCUGCUCAAAUUUAGCACCGAAAGUGACUUUUCAAAGGAAGCAAGGAUUUUCUGGACCAACACUUCACGGGUUUCUCGCGAAGAAGAUGGCACGUUGAGAUGGAUUUGGAGCUGCCUUGCUAGCUCUCUCCCUAGCGUUAGCUCGUUUACAAGAUUCUUUGUUUGCUCCCAGUCCCCCAUAUUAUCCAUUUACAAGUUGAAUAUAACUCAGAAAUUAAGCUCUACUCCAAUGGUUUGAUCAAGUAAUCAAGCUAGGCUGACUGUUGCAGUGGGUUACUAAUUUUCUAGCUCAUAUAAUCACGAGAGAUCGUAUAAUGAUAGGAAAUAGCAAGUAUAAGAUGAGAAGCCAAUACGAGGAAUUCAAGUACUAAAUUACUAAAUUAUGGAGACAAAUGAUGAAGGAAAUGGAUCAACUGAAAAAGGGGAAACUAUAACAGAACAUGAUUAUAAUGAUCUGAGGUUCGUGGGUUUUUGAAACUGCAAAGAUAUAAGAUUGAGAAGCUGAGGAACGAGAGAAGGUGGUGUGGGUUUUAAGGUAAACCCUCGUUUUGAAUGAAGAAAAGAGGGAAGGAGAAAGGAGCUGAAAGAGAAAAGUUUGACGGAGAAAAAUAGCAUUAAGACCGGUCUUUGGUCAUCGGAACUGUGGUUCAAAGGCUGAGGAAAGUCCAAUUGCUGACCAUUUCAACUUCCACUCUCCACUUCUUCUUUUUUUUUUUUUUUCCGCCCUGCCCCCUUUUUGGUUUAGACAUUCUUUUAUAAAAAUAAAAUAUCUUUAAAACAUCUUUUCAAUUUUUUAAAAUGGGACCGAAUAUUUGAAGCGUACAAAUUAAAAUCUCUUAAAAUUUUAUUUAAAUAUAUUUAUUAUUGGAUUAAAUUUUUAAAUAAUUUAAAAUAUUUUUAUAUUUUAUAUAAAUAGAGAUAUAAUUAAUGUAAUUAAAAUAAUAAAUUUUAAUUUUCUAUUUUCUAAAAUAAUUUUACUUCUUCACAUAUAUUCAACUUGAAUAUAUUAAUUAGCAAAUUAAUUUCCAACAUAUAAUGCAUAAUAUUCACUAAUUUAGUUUUAAUUAUAUUUUCAUAUUUAAUGUACAUUAAAAAAUUAUUUCUUAAAUAUUAUUAAAUAGAAAAACGAAAUAUAGAUUGUAAAUUUAAAAUUCUUUGUUGAAUUUAAACAUAUAUUUGAUAAUUAAUGGAGAUGGGAACUGGGAAGUUAAAAAAGGAAUCAUUAGAAGAAUCUUUUAUAUCUUGUUUGGAUUGAUAGAAAAUAAGAACAGAAAAUAAAAUAAUUUUUCAUUUUUAUUUAUUUGAAAAGAAAAAAAUGAAAUAAGUUAGAAAAAUAUGUAACAAUACUCAUAAAUAAUUUUCACAUUAAAUUAGAGAGAAAGUGAAUAGUAAAUAAAUGAAAUUAUUUUUUAGUUUUAUAAUAAUUUAUUGUCACAAUAAAUAAAAAAAUAAAAUAGAUAUAUAUUUUUACUAUUUCCUAUUCUCUUUUAUUUUUCUCUUAAACACUUAAAAAAAUUAUUUAAAUUUAUUUUUUAUUUGUUUUGCAUUUGUUUCCUCUCCAAGAAGUUUCCCAAAACAAUGAUACGGCAGUUCCGGCUUCAGCGUUUACACCAGUAAGUUCAGACGACAAUUUCCAUUUGCUCGAUGUGACCAGCACAAGUCUACUAGCCUUCAGCGUUUGAUAUAUGACAUGUCCACUCGCCUUUUAAAAAAAAAAAAUCUAAAUAUUUUUUAAUUACUGAAAGUUUUUUUUUUCUUUAAAUAUAAAUUUUAUUAAUUAGUUAAAUUUAUUGUUAAAGGUGAGUAAUAUUUAAUUUAAAAUGAAAAAAUUAAUUGAAUUAAAUUAAUUUAAAAUUUUAAUUUAUUUUUUUUAUUUUUUUCAGUUUUAUUUUAUUUUUAUUUUAAAAUUUUUUAAUUAUUUAAAUUUGAUUAAAAUAAAAAUAUUUUAAUUAAAUUUUAAAAUAUUAAAUUUAAUUAAAUAUUAAAAAUAAAGUAUAAAAAAUAAAAAAUACAUUAAAAAUAUAAUUCAUUAAUUUAAUUUAAAUUAAAUUAAUUUUAAUAAAUAUUAAAUUUUUAAUUUUUAAUUUAUGUAAUUUGAUUUUAAAUUAAAUUGAUAGAAUAUUCAAAAUGAAAUGACAUUCCAACGUAUGCACGACUCGAUUGCCCUCUCUUUCGAAGGUUAUUGAAUGGAGUAGCAUCCAGAUAAAUAUUUUAAAAAAUUAAUUUGUAAACAAUAUUCUAUUCAUUCUAUAAUAAUAUGUUUUUUUAAUUUGAAUUAUAAAAUGGCUUUUUAAUUAAAAAGUUACUUCCUAACGUUUUCAUAUAUACUAGUUAAUGUAUAUUAAAAAUGCAAAACUUAUUAGUUUUAAAAUUGAUUUAAUAAUGAAAAUAUAAGUGAAUGGUGUAUUAGUAAAAAGAAUAUAAAAUUUAUAUUUUUAACAAUAUUAAUAUUAUUUUAUAUAUAAAAAAAUAAAUAAAUUCAUUUUUCUAAUACAAGUAAAAUAUUAAAAAAUGAAUUUUACUCUUGUUAUACGAUGAUUUAACAUUUCCUCAAUUAUCUUGCUCGAUGAACAUAUAACAAUCAGUACGAUGUAUAUUAUUUUUAAUAAUAUUUUUUUGAUCUUUUUUUUAAUCACAGCGACACUAUUUUUAUUUUUUUUAACUUGCUUUUAUUCUUACUGUCUGCUUUGUAUUAUAAAAAAAAUUUUAAUGAAAGAGAUUAAGUUUAUAAAAACGAAACUGAAUUUCUAUUAUGAGAUGAAAGAAGUCUUUUAAUUCUAAAAAUCAAGGAUGAAUUGGUUAUCAUAUAGAGACAAAAAUACUUACUUUUUUCAUUUAUCUACUAUUGACUUAAAUAACGAAAUUAUAUUGACAGGAUUUAAAACAGCUUGAACCCUUUUAUCCACAAUCAGUUCGAGAAAACUCUGAAUUGCUUUCAAAAUUUGUAUUUAACUUAAAAUAUACAUAAUUAUCCUGUUUUUCUUCUAAAUAUACCCUAUCAAUUUUAAAAGAAAUGAACAAGAAGUUUGUCAACCAAUUUUCAAAAUUGGAAAUUCGAUGUAUUUUUUUUAAUAUGGGAGCUUUCAAGACUUCUGAUUCUGAUGGUUUCUAACGUUUAUUCUUUCAAAAGUAUUAGGCGGUGAUGAAACACAAUAUUAUUAAGUUAGUUCAGACUUUUUGUGUCUUUGAUACUCUUGUUAAAAGGGCUAAUGAUAUAGUGAUUGUAUUUAUUCCAAAUAAAUAACCCUCAACUCCUUUUCCGACUUUAGGCCAAAUAAAUAACCAUCAACUCCUUUUCCGACUUUAGACCAAUAAGUUUUUACAAUUUUAUUUAUAAAAUUGUGUCUAAAGUGGUAGUGAACGGACUAAAACCCUAAAUCUCCUCUUCGAUCAGCUUUUGCUCCCCACAGGAGCAUCCAGGAUAAAAUUCUCAUUGGGCAUGAGGCUUUGCCUUACAUCUAAGCCAUCCUUUUUGCUAUUAGUAGAAAUUUCCUUCUAAUCAUAUUAGAGUCUGACUCCUUCGAAUUGAUUAUGGCCAUGGGUGGUUUGUUAUUUGCUAUUCCUUGAAAAAUCCAAGUUGUUAACCUUGACAUUAAAUCCCUGUUAGCUAUGUUCCUUUCAAUGUUUUGUGUCUUAUGUUAAUAGAUCGGCCAACUCUCGUAUUGAUUGGCUUGCUAAGCAUGUCAGACUAAAAUCUGUAAGUGUGGAGUGGUGUUCUAAUUUCCCCUAAUCAUUUAUUGAAUUUGUUUUAAAAGGACAAUUUUGUUAAAUGUUAAUAAGAUCUUCUGUUUGUUAAAAAAAAAUUUUCACCAUGAUAAUUACUUUUAAAAUUCAAAAUAUUUCUUAUACUUUAUGUAUAUUUUAAUCUCUAUUACUUAUAAUUUAGAGUAUUUUAAGUUAAUUCAUAUGCAAUAAGAUUUUAAUUUUUAACAUUUUGAAAAUAUUUAUUCUUAUUUUAGUUUAAUAUAUUUAAAAUAAAUAAUUUUAAAUAACUCUUAAUAACGUGGAGUCCCGCAUUAAUUAUAUUAAUUUGACAUAUUUUUUGCAAGUAUAAUAUAUAUUUUGUGUUAUAGUGACGUUGCAAUUAUUACAUUUGCUUGUCUUACCUAAAUCCAGCGUAUAAGUCUUAGGAAAACACAUACCAGCGUACAUUUAUAAAUAGCACCCGUUGAUUGUGGCACACGUGGACUCGUGUUACCAGGGCGUGAAUUUGCCCUUUAGAUAUCACAUUAUGUUGACUGUCCCGUUCGAUUAUUAUUUUCUUCGACAAUUUUCAACUUUCCUUUUUAAUUUGCAUUAUAAUUUUUCUUAUACGUCAUUUGAAAACUUGGCCUAUAGUAUAGGCGAUGGGUUGAAGAAUUUUCGAGGACGGUGAAGAAGGGUUAUGUAACAGGUAGUUUCUGACACGUUUGGACCAAUUCAAAAUCAAAUGAUUUCAAUGUAAGAAGUAAACAGAACACUUUAAAUCUGAAAGUGGAAGUAAACUGUGUAAUAACUCUCACGCAGGGAGCGAAACAGCUGCCUGCCUUGUUUUCUCGUAGAAAAUUAGAAAGGAGCCUUGUUAGUCUACACAGCCGCAAAACGGAGGUGGGUUCAUACUCGUGCCACCAAAAUGGUGGACCAUGGGGGAUAGCGCGUGGAAAUUAUAACGAACUUUCAUGUCACUUUUCAACCGAGUCGGACUUGGACUCGAUCAGAGGCCAUAUCUGUCAUUUCACCACUUCAAUAUCUUAGUAUUAAUGCUGUUAUAACUAGAUUGUAGUGGGCUUGGGUCUGGCCCAACCAAUCCAUAUUGGCGACCUAUGGUCCGAUUACAUACGAUGACAAAAUGGGUUGUCACUUUGGAUCCACUCUUGCACUGAAGGCCUAGAACAUUCUGGAGGCUUUAGUUUUAUGAUUUCAACAUCAAUUAUUUGAAUGUUAAUUUAAUUUAUAAAUUUAAUAAUAAGAUCUUAUUUAUUUUAAGAGUAUCAUAUUAAAUUAAUAAAUAAAUAUAAAAACAAGUAAGUAAUUAAUAAAAAUUUAUUAAGCAAAUGCAAAACAUAAAAAAUAAUUCAUUUUAAAUUAGUAUAAUAGUGUUACAGAAAAUAUAAAAUAUUAUUCAAAUAUUAAAAACUAAUAUCUCUUACAUUUAUGAAAAAAAUGGUGAUUUUUAAAAUUAAAAAUGAAAAUGCAUGUACACUAGGCCACUGAUCUUACUGUUAAGCUGGCAAGAAUUAUCCUAAUUCUAGAGAGAGACUAUCAUUUUGACUGGCUGUGAUUAGAAAACGUAAGGACACACUAGACCACCACAUUUGUUGGACCCUACAAGCCACAUCUCACAUGUCACUUCCAAUGAGAACCUCCCACGUGUUAUAAUGAUCAACCACAUUCCCUUCCAAAUAUCUCCCCUUACAAUCUAAAAUGGCCACGCAAGACCUCAUAGAUGCUAUUUCUUGCUUCACCUCUGGCCACGUCGUUACCACCACUCUUAAGUCGCUCUCUCAGUAUCUUACUUGUCACCUUCUUAGCCGUUGAUACAAUACACCCCAUGUUCCUGUCCGUUGAUUAUUCGGAGAAAUAACCCGUGGACACCUUUUUUUACAUGUUUAGAUUAUUCUUUCUUCGUUAUAAAAGCUCAAAAUGUAUCUCAGUUUAGAUUCUCUGCGUUCUUCUAUUUGGAGUUUGUCACAGAAAUCGCUCGAUACAAAUCGGAGAUUCUGCGUGAAGUGAGAAAUUUGGUCGUUGCUGUGUUCAUAUAGGUAUGCUCUUUUUUGAGUUUUAUGUAUUUAUGGCAUAGUUAUUGCAAAAUUUUCGGCGAUUUAUAAAAGCUGUAAUGUUGAUUUUCUGCAGAUAUUUACUUCCAUUUGUUUUAUAUGGAUCGGUGCAUGUUUGCGUUAGUGUUUUAUUUUUUUUUUUUUCUGAUAGAUUAAUGAUGAUUCCAAAUUCUUAGCUGGGUUCUAUAUAGUUAAGUGUUGCUAUUUGGGUUGAUCGUUAUUAAUU